rnacentral:rRNA from 1 species
AACGUAGGAGGCGAGCGUUAUCCGGAGUUACUGGGCGUAAAGAGCGUGUAGGCGGGUAUGCAAGUUUGGCGUGAAAGCUCCCGGCUAAACUGGGAGAGUGCGCUGAAGACUGCGUAUCUAGAGGCGAGUAGAGGGACGUGGAAUUCCGGGUGUAGUGGUGAAAUGCGUAGAGAUCCGGAGGAACACCAGUGGCGAAGGCGGCUCACUGGACCGCAACUGACGCUGAGGCGCGAAAGCUAGGGGAGCAAACAGG